GUCGUAUGGUCGAGAGCCGAGAAAGAGGCAGUAGGAUGGUUGGUCCAACCUUAUUGAGAAAAUUCUGAGCAUGUGAUCAUUGUCCAGAUUUCCCUCGCUUAACAAUUAUCACCAUCGUCUGCACUAGGAAAUCUCCAGUAUAUUUGCAUGGAUUGUCUGACAAAAAGUCAACCAGUGAUCUAUGGUUGGAUGUUCGCCGUAGUCACCAGCCGACCAGCGUCGAUCAAUCAACACCCGCAGCUGCAUCGUUCAUACAAGGUCAGGACUCAUAUAGGAAUCCAUGUCGUUACAAUGUCUCCUUAAUUUCUCUCCUCCCCUUCCAGCAUAUAUGGGUGAUGUCCCACACAAAGUUGUUGCUUGCACUAUGUCGUGGCCAAGGGUGAAUACACCACAUGGUGAGGAUCGAUGCCUUAUGAGCUAUGAUUUCCUAUUUAAUGUUAGAUAUGAAACAUAUCCCGUGUUUUAGUAAUUAUAGCUUUGUCUCUGUACUAUAGAUGAAUAAUAGAAUUAAUAAUUUCUCUAACUUGAGUUGUAACUGAAAAAUGCCUGCCUAUGAUUAUCAGUAGUUGUACAAGGACAAUGCUCAUCC